rnacentral:misc_RNA from 1 species
UACACAAUCGGUAUCAACCCCACAGACAGUCCCGACGCACGUACAGUUUUUCCAUUCACUGGGCUACUCUCUGGCGAUCCUCCACGUGGUUCGUCAAGGUCGCGGUCUGGUACCCGGUUCGCGCGUCCAAGGCGGUUCAGUUCGAUGCUUGGAAUCGAUUAUUACAGACGCAGGACGAGUAACACUUCUCUAAGAAACGUAUUUUCAACACUCUUUCCAGCCAGAUGAUUUUUCUAUCACAGCGAAGUAACGUUGUAUGCGGUUGUACGCAGUUGGUAACAGAAUAAUUUUCUUCCGAUCCUAUAAACAACGGAGAGACUUAUCAAAUUUUUCAUACCGGCGAUGUAUAUGCGAGCAUGCACAAACCUUUUUGAUAAUGAUUAUUGUCGAGAACAGGAAUAUCGUUAACCGUAUG